GCACCCGCCCCGGCGGCCACCUCGGGGGUGAGGCAGCCCGGCGCGUGGGAGGGGACGGCGCGCCAUUGGCUCGCGCGCGGAACUAGAGGAGGGACCUGCGGGGCCGCCAGACUCAGGCGAGCCUAGCGGCGCAGGAGUCCGGCCCGCCCUGCCCUGCCCUGUCCUGCCCUGCCCUGCCCUGCCCUGCCCUGCCCUGCGCGGCGCGAUGUGAGGCUCCGAGGGUCGCAGGACCGCCCGGCACGGCCCGCCAGCCCCACGAGCUCGGGGACCCCACGCCGGGAACGUAAGUCCGCGCCCCGGCGCCACCGUGCGCCUCGCACUUCCCCGGCGCUGCCGGCGCUGCCUGUGCUGCGCACGCAGCCCGCGGGCUCCUCCGGCCACGGGGACAGCGGGGUCCUCGAGCGCGUAGCCGGGCGCCGGGACAGCGGGGCACUUUCGGGAGCUCCUCCAGCCGCGCAGGACGCGGUCCGCUGCCCCUUGCGCGUGUCCCCCGCGCGCUCUGCUCCCCUUGACUCGAUUUCCCUGAGCUUGGCUUCUGCCUGCGUCGCCUCCUUCCUCUGGGACUGUUUACUGGCUCUCGGGCUCGCGCACUCUGCUUCGGAGCUAGAGAGAAACACAGCUCGAAGCUGUUUCUCUCCGGCCGGCCGGGGUCUCCGGCGUCGGCGCUCGGUUCUGUCCCCUCCCCCCUUCCCCACCGCACCCCCUCUCGCCUUUGUUUCCCGGCCGGAGGAGCUCGCGGUGCAAACUUGCGAGUUCCGCGGGCUGCGCCCCCUCAGGGCCGUGGGGCGAGGCGGUGGCGGAGUUCCGGUCGCCCCCAAGUCUGGCGUGACCUGCCGGUAGAGGGGCGGGAGGCCGGCCAGGAGCAGCCGGGGGAUCAGAAAGUGGGGGAGUGUCUGGACCCCGGAGACUGUGCCCCUUAGACCAGGACCCGCACAGCGCCUGGCUCACACCCCUCUGCCGGGCUCCGGGGACGGCGAUGGCGGCCAAGCAGCCCCGCCUCUCAUGAAGAAGCACAGCCAGACGGACCUCGUGAGCCGCCUGAAGACUCCGGAAGAUCCUGGGCGUGGGCGGAGAGGAGCGAUGACGGGGAGGUGCACGCCUGCAAGGUGGGUCCCACCUAGGAGCAGAGCUGCUCCUGCAGUGGGUGCGGCGCCAGCCGCUGUCCGAGCAUUAACCUGGCUGCCCCAGAGUUGUAGAUUCAAGGAUGUACCCAUUGUACGGGUGAGGAAACAGGCUUGGAGAGGCUACGCUUGAGUUCUCAAGGCCACGCAGGCAGGUGGCAGGAACAGGCUUCGGCGCCCACAUCCGGCUGACACUGAGCUCUGGUUCUUAGUCCCCACAUUUCCAGCUUCUCUUAAACUCGGUGCCCAGAGGGAGGGAGGAGAGGGGCAGCCUCUUUCGCCAGCAGGGGGAACCCAGGCAGGUCCCAGGGAGCGCCUCUGACCCCCGUUGUGUCCACAGAUCAGCCAGGUCCUGGGCAGCUGAGAUCAAGUUUGCCGUCCGGGGAGCCCCUGGGGCUGAGGGUCUGGCAGUUCGUGUCCGCUGUGCUGUUCUCCGGCAUCGCCGUCAUGGUGAGACCCCGCCCCAGCCCCGGCACCUGGCCCUGGGCGGGACGGAUCUUACGCAGUCAGUCGGACUGGCGGGACCUGGACUCAGAACUGGACUGAGGCUGUCCGAGGGCCCCUGGCUGCCCGCACAUCUUCGUGCCCGCCGGGACCACCCUAGUCCCGUCUGUGGCCCUGAGAACCGCAGAGUCUCCUGUCCUGGGGCGGAGGGGCGGGGCGGCCCUGAGGUCCCUGGCCUGGUCCUGGGGCUCUGAAGAAGGCGCCCCCAGCCUUGCCUCCAGCCCCUCCCACUGUGCGCAGGCCCUGGCCUUUCCUGAGCAGCUCUACGAUGCUGUCUUCGACGGAGGCCGAGGUCACCAGCAAGACCCCAUCCGCCUCUGUGGGGGCGCCCUCCUCAGCAUCUCCCUGAUCAUGUGGAAUGCGGCUCUAGCACGGGCUGAGAAGGUCAUCAUCCGGUGGACGCUGCUCACGGAAGCCUGCUA
ensembl:lncRNA